rnacentral:rRNA from 1 species
CCAAUAGCGUAUAUUAAGGCUGUUGCAGUUAAAAAGCUCGUAGUUGAAUUUCGGGACCAAUUUGUCGGUCGUGCCUCGGUACGUACUGGUAUUAUUGGUUUCUCCCUUCUGAAGAACCUUGAUGUCAUUAAUUUGGUGUCUUGGGGAAUCAGGACUGUUACUUUGAAAAAAUUAGAGUGUUUAAAGCAGGCUCGCGCUUGAAUACAUUAGCAUGGAAUAAUGAAAUAGGACGUUUGAUUCUAUUUUGUUGGUUUCUAGGAUUGACGUAAUGAUUAAUAGGGAUAGUUGGGGGCAUUAGUAUUCAAUUGUCAGAGGUGAAAUUCUUGGAUUUAUUGAAGACUAACUACUGCGAAAGCAUUUGCCAAGGAUGUUUUCAUUAAUCAAGAACGAAAGUUAGGGGAUCGAAGACGAUCAGAUACCGUCGUAGUCUUAACCAUAAACUAUGCCGACUAGGGAUCGGAUGAUGUUAAUUUUUUAAUGACUCAUUCGGCGCCUUACG